GCCGGACUGAGAGGUUGAACGGCCACAUUGGGACUGAGAUACGGCCCAGACUCCUACGGGAGGCAGCAGUGGGGAAUAUUGGGCAAUGGGGGAAACCCUGACCCAGCAACGCCGCGUGAAGGAGGAAGAAGGUCUUCGGAUUGUAAACUCCUGUUGUUGAGGAAGAUAAUGACGGUACUCAACAAGGAAGUGACGGCUAACUACGUGCCAGCAGCCGCGGUAAAACGUAGGUCACAAGCGUUGUCCGGAAUUACUGGUGUAAAGGGAGCGCAGGCGGGCGAUCAAGCUGGAAGUGAAAUCCAUGGGCUCAACCCAUGAACUGCUUUCAAAACUGAUUGUCUUGAGUAGUGCAGAGGUAGGCGGAAUUCCCGGUGUAGCGGUGGAAUGCGUAGAUAUCGGGAGGAACACCAGUGGCGAAGGCGGCCUACUGGGCACCAACUGACGCUGAGGCUCGAAAGUGUGGGUAGCAAACAGGAUUAGAUACCCUGGUAGUCCACACCGUAAACGAUGAUUACUAGGUGUUGGAGGAUUGACCCCUUCAGUGCCGCAGUUAACACAAUAAGUAAUCCACCUGGGGAGUACGACCGCAAGGUUGAAACUCAAAGGAAUUGACGGGGGCCCGCACAAGCAGUGGAGUAUGUGGUUUAAUUCGACGCAACGCGAAGAACCUUACCAAGUCUUGACAUCCUGCGACGAUGCUAGAAAUAGUAUUUUCCUUCGGGACGCAGAGACAGGUGGUGCAUGGUUGUCGUCAGCUCGUGUCGUGAGAUGUUGGGUUAAGUCCCGCAACGAGCGCAACCCUUAUGGUCAGUUACUACGCAAGAGGACUCUGGCCAGACUGCCGUUGACAAAACGGAGGAAGGUGGGGAUGACGUCAAAUCAUCAUGCCCUUUAUGACUUGGGCUACACACGUACUACAAUGGCGUUAAACAAAGAGAAGCAAGACCGCGAGGUGGAGCAAAACUCAGAAACAACGUCCCAGUUCGGACUGCAGGCUGCAACUCGCCUGCACGAAGUCGGAAUUGCUAGUAAUCGUGGAUCAGCAUGCCACGGUGAAUACGUUCCCGGGCCUUGUACACACCGCCCGUCACACCAUGAGAGCCGGGGGGACCCGAAGUCGGUAGUCUAACCGCAAGGAGGACGCCGCCGAAGGUAAAACUGGUGAUUGGGGUGAAGUCGUAACAAGGUAGCCGUAGGAGAACCUGCGGCUG
rnacentral:rRNA from 1 species